UGCAGUGAUGACUGCUGGAAAGAAAUUCUGAGAAUUAAUGAGCCAAGUAGAGAUACUUCAGAGACAAGUGCAGGAUGUGAUAUUCUUCAUAAAAUAAUUUUAAUUAACUGGGAUUAGAAGGAACUGAAGACACAGGAGAAAGAGAAAGAAAAGGCGAAAGACAGAGAGCUGUUUGAGCUUUUUAAACUUAUUUUGGCCAACAAGUGACACCAUUAAGUUAAAAAUUGUUGAAAUGCAACUACGUCGGAAGACUUGGUUUUUCCUGCUUCUUGGUUCAAUGCAGUAAAGCAGAACUCUCGAUUUAGCAGUGCCGCUUAUUGUUUCUCAUGAAACCUGUGCAUUUGAAGAAGGAAAGUGAUUCCAGUGGGACCAGACAACCUGCUGCACACAGAGGCUACAAGGGACCUUUAACCACCCAGAUAUCUUGGCCUACUUUAUGAGUGUUGCAAUGGGUGCCUGGAAAUGGCCUCAGGACACGGAACUCAUUUAAAGAUUCUUUGUAUUUGCUGUCCGGCCUAGACACAUGUGGCUGAGAGUACUAAUACCCUUUGGAUGAAGAGAGGAUGAAUCAGCCUUUCCAAACUGCAGUUUCACCAAAAUUCUUUGGAAGUGAUCAUCCUUCAGUUCUCUAAAGUCCAUAAUCAUAAGCAUUUCUGGCUGAAUCUCACCACAGAUGAUCUUGUUAAUUGGAAUGAUAACUUCACCUACACAAAUGGAUCAAAUUCUACAAGAUGUUUUUGACACUGCCUCCUCAGAGAAAGCCUUGGCCUCUGGAAAGAGGAGAUCCUCUUUGUCCUGCAUCUCCAAACAUAUCCCAUACACAAACCUUCA